UCAUGUUUGUAGUUGGUAUUACUUUUGUAAUUUAUCUCAUCGGUUUAAGAUUGGUUAUUUUUUGUUGUUUUUUUUAGAAAAAAAAUGUUUUGUAUCAUCUGAAAAUAUAGUAAGUAGUUGUACAUGCUCCCAAAAGAGUUGUGAAGGCACCCUGUAACAGCCAAGAAAAAUUUAGUAAGUUUCAGCUUUUCAAAAAUCAAGAUCGAACCAGGCAACCUUCUAUUGGCAUAUGGUCUUCAAUACAUAUGGAGUUCUUUUAAAAGGUACUGUGACGGCGACAAAAAUGGAUACCAACCUAUGGAAAUUUAUAUGGUGAUCCCUAUCACAUCAUGAUACUGGCGUUCUUCAUGGGAUAAUCGAGAGACAUAGGGCUGCAUAGCCGGAUAGCUUAGUUCCAAGGUUAACUCUACGGCUUGCAUGGUUUUCCUUUUCCUAGCGAAUUCACAUCAUGUGUUUAAAUUGUGGGUUUCGGCCUUCUGGAUCAUACCUGCGUGGAGGUUCUCUUCCCUAAGAAGGUUGACAGUGUACGUACGUAUACGUAAUUAAUUAAUUCAUUUUCACGUUUAUUUGUCAACGGGUGGCUAAAUAUGGAUGUACAAGGUUUCUUUC